rnacentral:SRP_RNA from 1 species
GCCAGGCAUGGUGGCGUGUGCCUGUAAUCCCAGCUACUCAGGAGGCUGAGGUAGAAGAAUCGCUUGAACCUGGGAGGCAGAGGUUGCAGUGAGCGGAGAUCGCGCCACUGCACUCUAGCCUGGGUGACAGAGCAAGACUCUGUCUCAA